rnacentral:lncRNA from 1 species
GUUUGAGGAGUAUCACAAAAUAUGUUACCCUGAUUAACUCCUGCUCUAAGUGAGCUUUGUUUAGGAUGCCAUUUAUUUUUAUUUUUGUAAUUGUCCUCUGUGGUCAAUGAUUGGAAGCAAGGGAUUGUUUGUUUAUGUCACUUUUGGCAAAAGAAAUUUUAAUGUGUUGGGAAUGUGACAUAGUAAUGGAAUGCAUAAAGAGUGGUUAGCUAUGAAUUUGGGGCCUGAAAUUGAAGGGAAAGUAACUUUAGUAUACUGAUUUUUUUUUUAUAAAAGAACUGCAGUGUCCAAUUCAUCAAAAAUCUAAACUUGUUAUUAAUAUUUUAAAAAUCAUCCAAAGAAAUAAAGUGUACUUUAUCAUAGUAGAAUGCAUUUACUCAUUUUGCAAUAGACAGAACAAGAAAACAACUGUUCACCUUUGAAUAAUUGUCUUUUGGGGACUAUAUAAAAGUAUACAUAAAAAUAAUAUAUCUCAAUAAAAAUAAAAUAAAAUAAAUUGUUGUUCCAUGGAUGAGUCUUUUGAACAUUGUACCCAAAAAUAGCUCAAAUUUACAAACAAGACCAACAAGUGACACCAUGUGAAAUAACCAUGUUUUUUUAUCAUCCACCUUCAAAAAAUUUGAUAUACAAAUACCAGCAAUCAAUGUGAAACUAUCUCUGCACAAUGCAAAAUCUUGUGCUAAUUUGAAGGUCACUAGAGAAUUGUAUCACAACUUCAACAUUCUAGUUUAAGUUGAUCAAAAGGAUGCAGUUGCAGUAUUAUUUCAUCUAUAUUAAAGUGGUUUAAACAACAACAAAGACUUGUGUGUAUAAAGAACCUUUUUUCAUCCUGCAACUUCAGAUGGACCUUUUAUAUUGUUUUUUAUUUUAUUUUUUAAAACAAUUAUAAAAUGUAAAUCAAGACUAAAUGAUUUCUCUACUUAUUGUUUUUGCACCACAAACUGAUUCUGACCUUGUAACCAUGUGUUGAGAAUUUGUCCUCAUACAUCAUCUUGUUCUGAAUUCUAUUAAAUUAAGGGGAAAUUGAUGUCUAUUAAACAGCUUUUUGCUAUUCAGCAUCUGUAGGUUCAAUUGUGCACAAAUAUUUUAAAGUGGAGUUAGGUGUGCAAGGGAUGACAUUCAUAGCUUCAAAAUCCUUGUUUGUACCCACCUCUGACACAUGUUUGAUAAAUAAACCCCUUGUGUAUAUGUCAUUUGAAUAGCUGGUGAGAGUUGGUGAGAGUAUAUGGGGAAGUUUAUAUUUACACUUGGAAGGUAAAGUGUAUAAGAUUUUGCAAUUGUUGGAAUAAUGUGUGCAAAUUUUAUUUAAAAAAUAUAUAAAAGUAAAAAAAUAAAAAAUAAUAAUUUCAAGUAUAUUUUCAAGAUAUUAGUUUUAGUUUAAAAUCAUCUUUUAAGUGAGUUAAAGAAAAUAUAUACGUAUUUUUUUUUGGAUAUGAAGUUCAAAAUGUGAAACAAAGUGGCAUAAAUUAAAACUCAUAUCUUUUAUCUACAAGGGAAAAUGUCAUUGUCCUUGAAUACAAAUUUGUGUGGAUGGGAUGUAAAUUAAAAAGGGCCAUCAUUCAAAAUGAAUUAGAAUCAAAAUAAAAUAUUUCAAUGGAUAGUGUAGAUUCUGGUUUAUUUCAUAAGGUCUAAUAUCUUUCACUAUUUCUAAAGUUUAUAAUUCCUCAAAGUAUAUGAAAUUUUGGAAACGUUUCUUUCCAUCAUAUAUAGUUUGUGAAGUACAUCAAUUUAUGCAUAGAAUCGUUUAAUCUGUAAUAUGAAUUGGGGUAAAAAGCACGUCAAUUCUGUAAAUUUAUAAGAACUACAAUGAAAAUAUAAACCUAAGUUCAAAAUUGAUAUUAAAAAAAUCACAUUGGAAAUGCUUAUGUUUUGGAAGACUGUAAUCAAAAAAUAAAAUAAAUGACAAUAAAACUCUCCAAAGGAAGGCAUUAUUUAACUGGAUUUUUAAAAUUCAGUUAAAUAAUGCCUUCUUUUGGAGAAGUUUAAAAUUCAGUUAAAUCCAGUUAAAUAAUGCCUUCCUUUGGAAAAUUUGUAUGAAUUUUAUAUAUAUCUGUUGGAUUUGCAAGUCAUUUGAUACGCCACGUGGCAAAUGGAAUUCAAUCUUAAAAUUUUUUUGGAUCUAAAAAUUAUACCAAGACUUGAAUAAUUUUUUUUGCAAGAUGUAUAAUAUUUGAGAGGUUUCUAAAUAAACUUCUUGCAAGUUAAUAUAUAAAUACAAUUAAGGUUGAGACCAACUUCAAUCUUGUUAGUACUUCUUUUACAUUAUGGAUUUGCAUCAAUUAAUAAUCUUAACAAUUGCUUCAGUUUUCAACACAAAUCUAGGUAUUAUUUUACAUUGUAUCAUAAUGUAAUUUGCAACAUAUUUUAGCUUUAAUUUGGGAUCAAGCAAUUUCACUCAAAAGUUUAUAAAAUAAGAAGGUGCUUUAUUUUGUAAUUAUUAACAAGAUUGUUUGAUACACAAUUUUUUUUCCAUAUAUAUUCACAAUAAAAUUAAUUUUUAAAUUUUUAGUAAUAUAAAAAAUUACUAGAAUAAAAAAAUUAUGUAUAUAUAUAUUCAUAAAAAUUCAAGUUAUAGAGUUCUUAGAAAAUCCUUCUAAAAUUCAGAUUAGUUUUUUAGUAUAAACACUAAAAUCACAUCUUAAACUUAAUUCCAAAAAAAACAUGAUGAAUGUAUAUACAUUAUAUAUAUAUAACACUAUUGUUUAUGUACUGUAAUUGAGUCGUAUAUGGUAGAUUAUCAAGGUGCUAAAAUGAUUUGAUUGCUAAUCAAUAAAUAUUUAAUAUAUAUUUAAAAAAAAAAAAAAAAAAAAAAAAAAAAAACCUAGGUAGACACCCUUCUUUAAUUGCGUAGACAUUUCUUUGUCUGCUUCUCAUAAUUUAAUAAGAAAUAAUAUUAAUAAUAAUAAAGUUUUUUACACUUCUAAUCAUUUGUGCAUGUUGGUUGCAUAAUUUUAAAUUUUAUAUUCUUUGACAUAUAAAAUACAUCUGAAUUCCAAUGUGUGCUAUCUGUCAUUUAGACAUAAGAAUUAUAAAUUUGGAUUUAUUUUUAUUUUUGCUAGUAAAAAUAUCAUUAUCAAAAAAUAUUCAAAUAUAAAUGAUAUUAUUAUGUGUAUGCAAGGAGAUGUUUAUGCAGUUAAAAACCAAAUGUGUAUGCAAUAAAAGAGGGAUGUCAAUGCAAUAAAAGGGGGGGUGUUCAUGCAAUAAAAACGGAGUGUCCAUGUAGAAAUUCCAAAAAUAAAAUUAUACAUAAAAAUAGCAUUGACAAAGAAAUUAAAUCAAAAAACAAUUAUAACUUUUUUUUAUAAAAAACCCUAGAAACACAUGGUACAUGAGAAUUUUGUAAAAACUAGCUUGAUAUUUUACUAUGUAUAUCUAUAUGGAUUUUAUUUAGAAGUGUUAGUAUAUAGUAUUUUUUUAGUCUCUAACAUAAAUUUCGAAUUUAUCUUAAAUGCAAUGAGACAAUAUUUUUGAUUUGAGGUCUCUCUAAUGGACAGUAGUUGGGCAUCAAAAUUCUCAAAUUAUUGUGUUUACUUUGUUAAUUUUACCUUUCUCCUCUAAAUCUCUUCUUCAUCUACUUUCAUUUUUAUUUAUUUAUUUAUUUUUUAUAAUUUUCCUGCUGUUAGUAUUAAGAGAAUCAUGGCUGUAAGAUUAAGUUUAAAUGAGUAAAUGCUACAAUACCAUUUUUCUGUAUUUUGUCCUCUUUUAUUAAAAUGUUUUCAUUUGAUGACACUAACAGUAUCAAUAGCAUCUGGAAGUCUAAAAUUAAUCUAGAAACCUAAAACCAAUUGAUCAGUCUAGUUUUUAUCACUAAAUGCAGUCAAAGAAAUCAAAAUUAUGCAUGUGUGUGUGUAUGUAUGUAUGUAUAUAGCUCCUCAUUAAAAAUAUCCUUCAAAAUUAUUUUAAAAUUUAAGAAAAAAUUGCGAAAAACAAGAAUUAUAUCAAACCAAAAGCUCAGGAAAUUUGAAAAUGAAGGCACAGUUCAAGAUCAACAACUAGUCAAUAAAAACAAAGAAUACAAAAUUAUAAAGUUGUUCCGUCAAAUUGUGAGGACUGAUGAAAAUAAAGGUAAAAACAAGGUGCAAGAAAUCAACAGAUUUCUGGUUUAUUUUUAACAGGUCAAACAAUGCCAUAAGGAAUCAUGUAUGGUGCUCUACAAUCUUAUUAAAUUAUACAAUGUCAUUUGUCAUGAAGAUGUUCUACAAAUGACUUUAGAAGUAAAAUGCAGUUAAACAAAAUAGGAUAAUUAAAUAUUUAUAAUCUUAGUAAUUCCCAAUUUACCAAAUGUAAAAUGUUUUUUUUUUUCUUCUAUUACUAUGAUUAAAAUAAAAUAAUAUAUAUAAUCCUGUCAAAAUUCUUGUAAAAUUCUGUGAAAAUUUAUGAUUAGAAAGUCAAUGAUUAGAAAACAUAUGAUUUACAUUUUUUUAAUAAAACAUCAAGGCUACAUAUAUUAUAAUUCCAAAUAAAUUAGAUUUUGGUAUAUAAGAACUCAUUUUGAAAAGCCAUAGUACAAUAGUCUUGUGUAAAGUUUCUUGCACAUAUAAUCACCAAGAGCCAAAAAUCAAAUGCCACAAUGGAGAACCACCACCAGCCCCCUAAAUUCAACAGUAAAAUGGAGAAUCUAUUUCCAUUGAUUACAGUGCCUCCAAAACUGUGGUCCAAAGGGGGAUGGGGUUGGCUCUGAUGUUGAACCCCCACACCACAACUGCAUGAAUACCCUUUGCCAUUUGGCAACCCUAAUGGAGACUUGUGAUGUGGCCUUAUCCAAAAUCCCCUGCAGAGCUUGACAAAUGCCAUCACUCCCCCACAUCAUCCCAUUGAAAAUGAUAUGCUGGGGCAAUGGUGAUAGGGUGGUAUGGGCUACUUUUAGUGACACUGGUUCCCAGUUGUUACAAUUUGCAUGGGGGCCGUUUCAAUUACUCUGAGCAUACGUGGAAGAGGAGGAGAAUCUCUUUAGAGCAGGACCUUGGGAAAUGGGAAUCAUGAAGGGUUUGACAAUUGGCUCCAAGAGAGAGGCUCCUCUGCAUGCAGCUAAUGGAGUUGGUGAACACACUUGUGUAGUGCAUUGAAGUAAAAAGUAACAAAUAAAUAGACUUUUGCAAAGGGAAUUUCAAAGAAUCUGCACACCUUAAAAUAUUAAAAUAAAAAAUACAAUAAAAUGAAAAGGGGUAUUUGUAAUCUGCCUGCCAAAUGAAGCUAACUCUUUGGUCCUGGUUUCCAUUCUGUCCUGACAAAUUGUCCACUCUGGCUUGACAUACAGGCUGUACAGACUAAGAGGAGAGACCCUUUGCACCUUUAGUUGCCCCUUGAAUAACAAACCUCACUUUGUGUCUUUUCAUCAUUUAUACUUAUUAUUAUUAUUAUUAUCAUCAUCAUUUUCUCCAUGUGUUUUUGGGUAGUGGGUAACUCAUUUGGGAACAGAUGUUUGCUAUGGAUACAACAUGCAAAUGCCUGUCAAGCUUAAGUACAUAGUUUUAUAAAUAGAAAUUAUGUGUGCAAUGUGGAAACACCCCUUCUGUACAUGGAAUAUUUUCUAACCCUGGGCCAGGCAAAUAUGCUCCAUUAGCAUACCAUCUCCGCAGAUCUUUGGGCUUUUUGACAAAAUCAUCCCUGCUGCCAGUGCUUAUUUAUUAUUCCUUUGGAGAAUAACUGCUGUUUAUUUCCAGCUAGAAUCCCUUAUAUAUUUUGAAGGCUGCAUCUAUCAAAAUUGAAGAAACUCUGAAGACCCAUGCUUUAGUGAUGACCCACCUCCUGUAAACAACCUCCAGUACGAGUAAGACAUCUGCUUUCCCAUGUCCACACACACAUAUGAGCAAUGACAAUAGCCAGACAGUAUAUUACUAAAUUUUCAUUUCAGAAAACAAAAAAAAAACAAAACAAAACAAAACAAAAGAGGAAUCUCAGAGUUUUUCCAUCUACAGUCACCAUCAUCUCAAGCUUCUCCCAAUGGACUCUCUGCCAUGCAUGCAACUGUCCACCAAAGAGCCCACUCCCCUUCUGCUUCCAUUCCAAUAUGGGUUGCCAUCACUUACACAAGCCACAACAAACAAACUAUCAACAAACAACCACAGCUAAACAAUGUCAACCCAUGAAAAUGAUUUACCAAUCACAGUCAAACCUGAUCCUCUCACAUCUUGUGGAGAUAGUGUGGCUACAUUCUCCCAGUUUGACCCUGGACCACCACCAUGGUUUAGUCCCCCCCCCAAAUUAGGGUUUGAACAAUCAAUUGGAUGUGAAGCAUUGGCACACAGUCAAGGUAGACUCAGGAAAUCAAGCAGACUUUUAUGCAAAGAGGGUAGAGGGCUACAAUUAAACAAAAGAGCCACUUGCCAAUAGUGGGAGGGAUGGAGCAAUGAUGGAGGGCCACAAUAUGAUGGGAUUCCAUAUGGAGCCUGGCACAUGCUGUGGGGCCAGCCCCCCUCCCCUCCCUUGUUGCACCCCCCCCCCAGACAUGAGCUUCAUGUGGGGUGUGCCUUUCUACUUCUUCUAUUUUUCUGUUUAUUCAUAUGGGCCCUCCCCUCCCCUGUUCCCCAUGAUUUUGCAAACUAGGGCUUCUGUAGCUCACUUUGAGUAUGGGUUGUGAAUGACUGAGGCUAUUGGACAAGUGCUUCUGGGGUUUGUAACUGUCCCCAGAACUGGCCUGGCUCAAGUGAAGCUAAUAGCAAAUGAAUAAGGAUGUUGCAACAAAUAUAUUGGCCCUGGGCUAUGCAAGUUUCCAAAAGGAAACCCUAGUAGACAGUGUAGAUGGAGAAAGGGAGAGUGUGAGAGAGAGGCAUACACACACAGCAACAGAGAAGUAGACAAUAACCCCAUUUAUGGCAAUUGGUGCUUUUACUGCAUGAUAAUUGGUCUUCAGCAUUGGGAGACUCAUGUCCCAAGGUUUUGCAUUAUAACAAGAUGGCUGCAAAUAGCAUGCUACUUUUGGAAGGAAAAUGAUAUAUCAUGUAAAAGAAAACCACAACCCCUAUGUGUUUGUGGGUGAAAACUACUGACUUGAAGCUUUGAAAUUAGAAGUGAGGGCAUGGAUACAUGAUAAUGUUGCACAUUAGUGUUUGUUCUCCCAAUGAUAUCUUAAUCCCUUGAUGUUUGCACAAAAUGGAUCAUACUAUGUGGUUAAUAUAUCAAAAAGCUUAUUGAUGAGGAGACAAGAAAUGUGUGAAUCCCAUCUUAGGCAGUACUUCAAGGCAGUAGUUCCUGUUUUAUUUUAUUUUAUUUUUUAUAUCUUUUUAAACUUUCAAUUAUAGUACCAUUACUAUUAUUCACAACUUGGCAGAUGUGAUCAAAAUCAGGGUUCUCAACAUUGCUCUUUAGCUAUCCAAGUGGAUUUUUGUUUUGAGGUUUGCAAUGCCAAUAUUAGGUGUGAUUCAUUCAAGACCACAUCCUUGUGCACUGCCAAAUGUGUUGUCAAUUCUAUAAACCUCAAAUUGAUAAUGCAAUAAGAUUCUGUGGUACAUGCCAGCCACUAUUUAUUCUCUUUAAAUGUGAAAAUAAGUAUAAAAAAAAUAAAUUCGCAUCAUUUCAUCUGCGCGGGACCAAAUUUCCAAAAGUAGACGGUGAACAAAAACUUUCGUGUUUUGAUUCCUUGUGUGAAUGGAGAGUUCCUUGCACUAUUUUAUUUUUAUUUUUAUUUUUUGGGUUUGAAUUUUUUGGAAAAUUACAAUAUACAAUUGAAUAUUAUUUUAUUGGCAACUUUGAAGGGUAGGAGAUAUGGACCUAAGAAAAGUGUCUAUACUUCUACAUAAUUGAAGUGGUUGUGCUUAAAGGACCUUGUCAAUCAAUUAUAAUUAUUGUUUUAUUUCUUUUCUUUUCUAUUAUAAAAAGUUUGUGGGUAUAGAAUCAUGUUGUUGUGUUCUUUCUCUCCAAUUCAAAUAAUCACAUCAGUAACAGAUUGGUCAAAGAACUUUCAUAUUCCUUCCUAAAUUAUUUUUUGUUGCAAAUUUGAUUUACGUACCUAACUUUGGUUGUUGUUCGAUGAAAUAAUAUCUAAAAUAAGGAAUAAAAUAAAGUAAUUUUAUUUAAUUAUUUAUUUGUAAAAAACAAACUAGAGUUUAGUCUAAAAUCUUUGUUGAUCAUAAAAUAAUAUUUCAUGUAACAAAUUCCUAAUCUGAAUUAUAGAUAUCUUUAGAUUUAGUAUCAUUGCUUGCUUUAGAAAAUAAAACAUGGUUUCUUAUUAAAAAAUAAAAAAAUAGUAAAGAUUUAUAUUAAAUUAUAGAAAAAUAUUUUUCUUGAAAAAAUAACCAUUUGGUGACUAGAAUAUUAACUCUUUGACAAUAGCUUUUUAAAUUUACAAAUUAUUUCUCAAAGAAAGAAACAUGUUAGAACAAUAGAUUUAGAAUUUUAUAUGCAAUGCAUAUUCAAUUUUAUAUGCAAUGCAUAUUCAAUUUUAUAUGCAAUGCAUAUUCAAUUUUAUAUGCAAUGCAUAUUCAAUUUUAUAUGCAAUGCAUAUUCAGUUUUUUAUGUAAAAAAAUUUACAUCUUAAUUUUUACUCUACAAUUAGUGUAGAAAAUAAAAUUAUGUAAUUUUUUUCAAUAUUUAUAUUAUUAGAAAAUUUUGCAAAAAUAUUUUUUUUUAUCUAAUUUUUUAUUUUCUUAUCAUUUUAUUAGAUUGUAGUUUAUUAUGACAUCUAAGUCCCUGCAUUCAUUUUUUUUCAUAGUCUUUACGAAAUUUAGAAAAAAAUCAAAAAAUUAGUUCAUUGAGUUAUUUUCAUUAAAUUCAUUUAUUAUUCUACUAACAUCAAGUGCUUUAUCCCUAAAUUUUAAAAUCUUAAAACUUUCUGCUAAGAGGAUUGUUUUUGAUAAACACGUCUUUAAUAAAUAUGUCUUAUAUAUUUUUUAUUUUUUAUUUAUCUUUAUUUCACUCUACUUAUUCUUUAAAAAUCACAUGAAUGAGUAAAAUGACAAGUUUUUUAAAACAUUAAUAAUACUUGUUUGAUGGUAGUUAGCAUAACUUAUGAAAUAUGAAUUUAAAAAACUUUCUAAUGCAUAAUAAUUCGGUAAUACAAAUUGAACAUGAAAUUUUUGUGUUUUAAGCUUUUAAAAUAAAUAUGUCUUUUUCACAUACAUAUAUAUAUAUAUAUAUAUAUGUAUAUUCAUUUAUGUAUUCUAACUCUUUACAAGAUGUAUUAUUUAAUAUAUUAUGAAAACCAAUUGGUAUCUUUUUUAAGAUUUAAAAAACAUAUUUGAGAUUUCUAUGUUCAUUUUUGAACAUUUAUUUCUAUUUAAAUGUAUAGUUCAUAUAUAAUAAAAUUCUUAAAAUUUUGAUUUUACUAUAAAUAUCAUAUACUAUAUUUUAAGAAUAUAUGAUAAAGAAAAUUUUAAAAAAUUGUACAAUUAUUAUGAUUCAAAAAAUUACGUUCAAAUAAAUAUUAAUGAUAUACUAAAGUAUAUGUAAAUAUUAUUGUGCAAUAAUUUAUUAAAAUGGUUUCUAUUUUUUUUCAAAACAAUGUGUUUUUUCAAGGUAUUAUACAUAUGUUUUACAUAAUACUGUAAAUUUUAUUCAAAUUUUUUUCGUAAAUUCCAAGAUAUUUUCCUUUAUAUAUAUAUAUAUAUAUAUAUAUAUGUCUGUGUGUGUUGUUAAAAAAGUAUCAAACAGCCCAUUAUUACAUUUAAUAAUAAAUUUAUUUUAUUAAUUAUUCAUAUAUAUAUUUUUUAAAAAUACAUAUUUAAAUUAAUUGAUUUAUGAUUAUUGCAUCGUCUUACUUGACAUUAAUUUUUAAUUUUCAAAACUACAAAAUAUAGAAAAUAUAUGAUAAUUUUCUAUUAUAAAAUUUAAAUCUAAUAUAUAGUUAAACUAAUAAAAUCAUGAUCUUCACAAAUAAACCAAAAUUAUAUAAGAAAAUGAUUCAAGUAUAAUAAUCACCAAAAUAGGUAAGUUUGUGAAAGUAAGUAAAAAUAAAUAGAUAUAUAGUAUUUUCUUCAAAAUAACAAUAGACCAGCUUGAUAGGCACCCAUUAGACUUUUAGUUUUUCUAGUUUUUCUUUGCUGAUUUAUAUGGCUAUAUAAGAAAUAUCUUAAAUAUUCUCUACUAAAAAAUUAUUAAAAAAACAUAUUACAAUUUAGACAUUUGACAUGUAAACCUAAUGGUUUUUAGGAAACUUGCACAUGAUUUUUCGAAUUAAUAUGUGUGAAAAUAAGAUUGAGAUUAUUUUUAAUUUUUUCAAUGUUUGCUUACAUUCUUGUCUUUUUUAAUGAAAUCUGUAUAAUUUAUGUUUGGAAAUAGCUACUAAAGUACAUCUCUUUUAUAUAAAUAUUUUUCUUCUUUGUCAUUUUGAAUCCUUCUUAGUUGUAUAUGAGUACACAACUACAACAUACAACUAGAUUUUAUGUUUUUCUCAUCCAAAUUGUACAUACUUCUGUCUUGUUGCUUUUAAAAUAAAAAGAAGUUGAAAUUAUAUUAAUAUCCCAAGUGUUAUUGAAUUGAUAUAAUUUCAUAUUUUAGAAGUUGAAUAAAUUUUUUAUUUUAGCUCAUAAUAAGUUUUUAAAUUUUAUAGAUGAUAAUGCUCAAACAUUCUAUUGAUAUUUGUUAUUUUUUAAAUCCUAAAUAUUAAUAUUUUAUUUAAUAUCAGUUUAUUGUUUUAAGACAAUUCUACAAGAAAAACUUCAGUGGGCGUGAUAUAGCUGUUAAAGAAAGCACUAACAGCAUUAGAUUUUGAUGUCCAAUUAAUUUAAUUUUUGGUUGUGAAUAUAUAAAAAUAUAAUUCAUUCUGAGCAUAAUACUUCUAAAUUGUUUUUCAUUUGGACCAUGGCGUUUUUAUAUUUGCAGAGCUAUCUUAAGUGUUUUGUUCAAAAUUCAUUUUAAGCAUUACAUUUUAGUAAUUUAAUUCAUUUUUAUUUUAAUAUAAAUAAAAAUUUAUAAUAUUUAAUCAUAGAAUAGGGAAACAAUUGAUUUGUGAUAUAAAAGAUAAAAAUACAAUCCACAUGUUUAGUGGUUCUAUCUUUCUUUUAGCUAUAUAUUAAUAUUACUUUUAACAUGUACAAUUUUUGUGUAAUGUAUUACAUACUUAAUCCUUUGUAUAUUGUGUCUUUAACUUUAAGAUCUUAAAAGACAAAAAGAAUGAAUGUAUAGAAGUUAGUAAACAUAAUAUGAUUAUGCAUAUAAUUUAUAUUUGUGAGCUUUAUUUCUUUUGUGCUAUAUAAAGCUAAGUAUAAAUUAAUUUUAUAAUUAAUAGAUGUUUAUGUUUUUUUGAUAGAAAAUCAUCAUUAAUAAAGAAGUUUUAUAAAAAAAUUAAUAAGAUAUAGGUCAUUUCAAUAAAAUAAUAAUAACAAUACUAUCAAAUGUGUUUUUCACCUAAUUGUUUUUAUUUGGUUUUAUUUUUAAAAAAAAAAAUUGAAUUUUUUUUAUUUGUCAUUUGGGUUUAUGUUUAAACAACAUUGAUUUAUUUUUUUGUAGUUAUUUCUAAAAAGCACUUCAAUCUAAUUAGGAAAUCAAUCAAUCAAUCAAUCAAUGAGAUUGUUUACUCUCUAGUAAUUAUCAAAUAGUGGUGGAAAUUUAUCUGCUUGUAAUCUUAAAUUUAUCUGGCAAUCUUAAAUAAGUCUGGCAUAUUUUGGAAGGUUAACUAGUUUAGAGUUUUGUUUGUGUUUGUACUGUCAUUGUAACAAAAUGAUCAUCACAUAAAAUUUAUUUCUGAAAUUUAAAAUUUUAAUCAUAUGUAUUUAAUAAAAUAAAUCAUAUUAAAAUUUUAAUAUUUUUUUUAAAAAAAUAGUUUUAUAAUAAAGUUUUAUCUAUCUAAAGACCUUCCUAUGGUAAGUAUUCAACCUCAAAAGUUGUAAUAGUACUUUACUAUAAAUUACUUUGUAGCAAUUAUUUUUAUAAUUUAAAUUAUUUGAUUUUUUAAAAAGAUUCAUGCAAAUCCUUACAAAAGCUAAGAUUUUUGAUUGCCAUAUAGUCUAUUGCAUUAGUUAUUCUUCAUGUAUUUUACAACUAAGCUUAUAUACAUCUAUCCAAUAUGUGAAGGUAAGAAUUUGUCUAUCCCUAUGUUGUUAUUUGCAAAACCAACAUUAUCAACCUAAAUGGCAUUUCUCAUCCAAGUUCCUUAUAACACUAAUUUUUUGUUACUCUAAUUUAACUUUAUAUAAAAUACUUUGCAUACAAUCACAUUUUAAGCUAAAAAUAUAAGUGCUUUGGGGAAGUAAGAUUUGAAAUAAAUAAAUAAAAGUGUAUAAAAGUGAUACAUAGAGAUCUAAGAACAUUCAAACCCCAGUGGCGUCACAAGGCAUAACAUUGGUCUUACUUGUGAUCUUUUAAGAUCCACCUAUUUUUAUGCUAAAAUUAUGAAGUUAGAUGCCCCUUAUUGAAAUUGGUACUAUCUUUUGGAAGAAAAGGUAACCAAAAGACAUUGGUUCAACUUGUAUAAAAACAUGCUUUUUAUUUUUUCAAACAAGUUGGACUGUGAGUAUGUAAUAUUUACUCCAUAACUCAUUACAGCAAAUUUGUUGGAGUACCUUUACAAAUGCAUCACCUUGAGAUUUUUCUCGUAUUUGAAUCUUUGGAUCAUGAAAUCACCCAAAGAAAAGUAGUGCAACAACUCAGAAUUGCCUUUACAGAAUUACAUUUCCAAAUAUAUUUUUGUAUAAAGACAAGUAUGAUUAAAUAAAAAAAUCCAUUGUGUUUGUAAUUUCAAUAACAAUCACAGGUGCAUGCAUGUAAUUUUACAAUCUGCAAACUCUAUCUGUAUGUCACUGUUGAAAUACUCUACAUUUAUGUAGCCUGGUGCACUACAUCUCUUUUUUAUGGAACAAUUCUUCAUCCUCCAGGUUUUAGAUUUUGAGAAAUAUUCACCAAGCGCAUUUUCUUCCCAGUGUAGUUGUAAGAACCAACAAUUUCUCAAACAUUCAGAAAUAAGUUGGAUGGAGGUACCCAUUUUCAUAACAUGCCAAAGGUUCUCAUGAACAAGAACCUGAACAAUAAGAGCAAAAUUAACCAACAUAACAGAAUAGUUAGCGGGGCUCAUUGAGCAGACCAAACAACCAGCGGCAUUCUGCAAGCUCCACAAGCUCCACAGACACAAGCAGUUAUGUUUCUUCGUCCAGAGGAUGAACACAAAAAGGAACACACAACCACAAACCGUUGAUUCCAAAACCCUAAAUUCCCUGUGAGAGUCUAAAUUGUUGUGCAGAGAUGGGACGAGAAAAAUUGGCAUGGCACAUGAGAAUGAUACCUGGGUUGUUGUAUGGUGGGUGGGGAAAUGAACCACAUAAGAAAUGCUUGAGAAGAUGAGUGAGUGAGCAAGCUUGCUAGUGAGAAUAGAAUGCCCCACUGCAGGGCUGCCAUAGCUCAGGUCCCAUCAAACACAGUCUUAUCUUUGUUGGAACCAUUUCUCACCACUUGGCAUCAAAUUCACAACCCCUUGUUUUUAUUUUGAUUUUCUGAUCCCUCUGUUUGGACUUCUCUCUAUCUGGCACUUGUGGUGAUGAAUGGUUGUUUUCAUCCUUUCAUGUGUUUGGAGCAUCUUCCCAAACAUUUCUUCAGAUGUCACUGAUGGUUUCCAAAAAGAAAAAAGGAAUUUUUCUAAUUAACUGUUUUGAAAAAAAUGAAAAUAACGAUGCUCUUUGAUUUGCAGUGGAUCAGACUUUGUCUGUUCUUGAAAUGAACACCUCUCCUGGCAACAUUGAAAAUGCAGAUUACAAACCUGUGAAUGGGAUAGCAAUGCCCCCACUGUGGACAUCACUCACCUUGCAUUGUGGAAAAAUCACACCAUUUUGCUUUUUUAUUGGGAUUUUAUGAGGCAGUAAAAGUAGGAGCUGAGUUGCAGAGCAAUGGUGGCCGGGGGAUGUGAGGUUAAGGGCUUUCAAAGAGUUCAUCAUCUUAAUCUGAACAGGGAGUUAACAAAAUGCUGAGCACAACCCUGUUUUGAAAACUUAUUAAUUUUGUGGGGCAUUACAUUUUGGAUCCAUUGGCAACAAAAUCAUUGCAUGCACAUGUUGCUACAAAUACUAUGAGAGAUUUUCAUGGGGUAAAAAGGAAAGUAUUAAAUAAUUGAAUAGAUUAAUUAAUUUAGACUUCUCACUUUGAACCCUGUUUUCUAGCAUUCAUCAGUAGUAAGUAUUUUGUCAAAUAUGUGAAGCAGUUCUUGUCACCAUGAUUGUUACUUGUUUAUUAAAAUUUAAAACAACUUUUCAGGAAAAUCAAACCAGUAUAUCUGAAUCAAUGAUCUAAUUCUUAUUAAAUUGUGAUGAUUCUAGACUUACAUUAAUUUUUGCUAUGAUCUUUCAUGUAAUCUAAUAAAUACAAAUCAAUUUCAAAACAUGCAUUUCUUGAAUACUUGAAAUGUUACUUUCUUUUAGGAAAUGAUAAAAAAGCAUCAUAAAUUCAUGUGGGCACUUUCACCCUAGUGGUUGUGGAGUAGCUAGGUACUUACAUGGUUGACAACAAUUGUACUUGCAAGGAUGUUUUGAUUCCACUGAUCAUGACCAACUGUGAAUGGUAUGAAAGUUUGGGAUCUGUAUAAUGUUAUUAAUAAUUCUAUUAGAGAAUGGACUAUAAAAUUAUUGGUGAGUUAGGAUGUAAUUUAGUGGAUCAGACUAUUACAGUCACAACAACAACAUCAAUGUUCUUCUGCAGCAUCUACUCUGCCCUCCUCAAAUUCUGUGGACUGUCAUGUUACAGUGUCUGUUGAAAUGUAUAAGGAAUCUUCUUGUGUUGGAAUUGAUAACAGCAGUCAAAAUUGGUAUGAAUCCAAAGAACAGGGAGCAUCUCUUCUUCAAUGCAUCACUAGAUGUCUAAGUGGAACUUCACACAACCUUUCAUGGGUUGUAACCAUCAUCCAUAUUUGUAUAAAAUUUGGAAAGACUAGGGUUGUAUAUAAACCUAUGCAUAUAUAUAUAUAUAUAUAUAUAUUCAUUCUGGGUAAAAUGGUUUUUGUUGUAAUGACAGCAAAAACAACUUGGAAUGAUAUUUUUGUAUGAGCAAUUCCAAUUACCCAAUGUGAAAAAUUGUGGAUUAUUAUCUGUGGUGGGGAGAUAGUGAGAUGAGAUUUUGAUUUGAACCAUUUGUAUAGCACAUACUCCAAUAGAAUAAUGUUGUUUCAAUUAGAAUAGAUUGAGAAGUGUUUUUUCAAGCAGACUUGAAAGUGUAAAAUACAACCAGAAAGCUGAUUCCCCAGCAAGCAGGACAUUAAACUUACCAUGCCUUAGAUAGCUUUUAAAAGUUUGUAAAAAAUAAGAAAAAUAAAAAAAACUAUUUGUAAUAACAAUUUGUGAAGGUAAGUUUUGAAGGGAUUAUUAUUAUUAUUAUUAUUAUCAUCAUCAUCAUGGUAGAAAAACAACUCAAAUUUUGAUUUAUUAAUGAGGAUGACCACAGACCACAGUACAUGUCCACUUUGACAGGUCCAAUAACCCACAGAUAUUAGGGUGCCACCCUGGCAACAGCUUUGUGCCCCCCAAGAAAGAGCCACUGCAGGGCUACGACAAUUUUAAUACAAACAACAAAAUUCCAAUAUCUUAGCCUUUCUCUUCUCCCUCCCACCCACAAGCCAAGCAUGGCCACUAAAGCUUUGGCUUUCCAGCUCAACUAAAUGACUCUCCUCUCUCUCUCUCUCUCUCUCUCUCUCUCUCCUUUUCUCAUGUUUUGGCUCUUCUUGUCCAUGCUAAUUUGUAUUCUCCUUUUUGGUUUGAUAAAGGUUCUGUCCUAUGAAGGUAUUGAAAUAUCCAAAGUUUUGAUAGCUGGACUCACACACAAGCUCUACCAAUUCAAUCCUCACAAAUACCCUCUUUACAGGUGCUUAGAUUGGGGGCAUCUUCUAGUGAUGCUCAAGGAUGCUUCAUAAACAAGGCAUUGAAAGAGGUAAAUGGAGGGGAGAAUGUACACUUUGGAAAAAAUCCCUUGAUGAAAGAAAGCACUUUCUUUUAAUGUGGAAAGUUGGAAAAAGAGGGUACUUUCCUUGAGGGGAAUGAGGAAUAAAACACUUCCCGAAGAAAUUUAAUAUUUUACCUUUCUCGAGGAAGGGAUUUUUGGAGUCAUGUUGUUUGUCAAUCAUCUUUAACAAUGAUCUUACACAGGUUUUGUAUGUGCAUGUAUUUAUACAUCAUGAUAGUUUUUAGGUUAACACAAAUGAACAAAGAUGCUUAUUAGAGCUGACAUGGUCUGAAAUGAUUCUUAUUUUAUUUUUAAAACAAAUAGAAGAAAGUUCUUCGGUAGCAUGUUUGUUUGUUAUGUUUUAUCCUUUCAGUAAGAGUACAUUAAUAUUAAUAUCAGAGUAAAGUGAUAAUACAAUGCAUGGUUUGAAAUAUUAUCCAUUUAUGAAAUAUAUCUAAAAUUGUUCAAGAAUUGAGAUUGGACCAGCAUUAAACAAGUGUAUCCAAUUUGUUUUGUCAAAUUUUUUUUUUGGGAAAUCAGAACUGGCGAGGUAAUUUGUAUGUGUGUUUUCCUCAUAAACAUAUUACUGGAUUAUAGUGUAAUGUGUGCAGAUCAAUGAUUCAUUCAGAAAUUUGUCAAGAGAAAUGCCAUAAGCAGUAGUAGUUGAUUCCACUCAUCAAACCCACUUCAACCUUGUGUUUGGUCAAUUACUGUAUUCUGUUGAAUCACAACAUCUACCUCUACUAUGUUCUUUAGGAUUAGCAUAGUUUUUAUUUUUUAAAAAAAAAUUAUAAUAUUUGAACAACUUUUGAGUUCAACAAGAAAGCAUGCAAUGUAUAACUUUUGAAAAGAAAGACAACAAGACAUUAUGUGUCUGUAUUCAAACGUUUUUAGAUAGUUGAUCACACAACCUAAUCUAAAAACUAAAAAUAAAAUGGAUAAAAAUUUGUUAGUAAAAUCUUGAUAUUUGAAUUCAAUGCCGUAUAUCAAAUUAAUACUUCUUACUCCAAGUAAAAAAAGUAUUCAAUUAAAUACAUAGUUGUUCUUUCAAAACUAAUAUUCAUGUUCAUAACAUAUACAUACACACACACACACAUAUAUAUAUAUAUAUAUAAGUGCUGAAAAAUCGCCCACAACCCUACAAACAAAUUCAAGACAUUUUACAGAUUCUUAAUAUUACAAUCAUGCACACUUCAACUAUAUAUAUAGUUCAUAUUUUCUUCAUACAAUAAUAACAUAAUAAUUAGCUUUAAUUACAAAUUUUGAAUACACAUGGAAAUGGAUUUACAUAAAAUGGGUUCAUUGCAUUUUUUUUUUUUUUUUUUUUUUUUGUUUAAAUCCUACAAAUUAGAUUAUUGACUCAUUUGUUCAGUCAUAUACGUAAUUCACCAAAUUUACUAUUCCAGAUAUUUUUGCAAUGUUUUAAUGGUCUUUUUCUUUCAUUUUUUAAACCUUAAUUUCUGAGGGGAAAAAAAUAUACCUCACACAACACUAGUGCCCAUGCUUUUUUCUUUUUCUUUUUAAAAAAUGACACAUAUCUGGUAAAAUCUAAAAGUAUGAAAUUUUGUUAAACUUUUUUACAAUUUUGACUGCUUGUCAAUCUUGAAACAUGCAAUUCCAAGCCAAAGUUGUCAUCCUUCAAGGAUCUGAAACAGUUAUUUUCUCGAAUCGAAACACAUACUUUACUGAGUUCACUUUGAUUGAAAAAAAAUCAAAAUUUAAUAUUUGAUGCUUUUAAUUUUUAUUCAAGAUUAAACGGUUCGGUUUUUUUUUUUUUUUUUUUUUUUUUUUUUUCAUUCAUUUAAAAAAUAUCUCCUAAUUUUUUAAAUGAUAAACUCUACAACCAAAUCGGUUAUGUUGAAAAGAAUAUCAGUUACAAGGUUUUGCUAUGCUACAAUAGCUUCAUGUUGCAAACUUAUGUAUAUGUCUUUAAGCUUAGUAUUUUAUGUAUCUAAAGUAUGUGAAAGAUUUAUUUAUUCUUGUUUAUUUUAAAUUUUCAUACCAUUCUUCUGUUAAUGAAAUUAAAAAUUGACUAUUAAGUAUCGUUCAACCUUUUUCGAUGGAAGCAAAUUCAAAGAAAAUAAAGUAUGAACUCUAAGUACUGAUUCAGCACACAUAUUCUUAAAAAAACCCAUUAUCCAUUUUCUGUUUUGAAAAGAGAACAUCAAAACCAAUUAUUAUCCAAUAAUCUUUGUAUUUACAACACAUGAUAUAGUAGAAAGAUAAACUCUCUAUCCAAAAAAAAAAAAAAAAAAAAAAAAAAAAAUCAGUCUCAGCCAAUAGAUUACAAUUUACCUUUAAUCAAGUCCAUUACAUACCAUAUUGAAUGAUGUAAGAACAUGUGCAUCAAUUUAAUGAUAACUUUGAAAAAAAAAAUACAUCUUACUCAAAAGCAAGCAACAUUCAUUGUAAUAACAUAAUAAAAUACAAAAAAAAAAAAAAAAAAAAAAAACCUCACAAUUAGCCUUGAAUUAAAAAACUGGACAAUGUGUCUUUUACAAAUUGGUUCCACUUUUUCAACCACAUAAUUUAUACAUCUCAUGUACAAAAUUACUCUAUGUAAUAGUCAUUUGCACUUAAAAACAAAGUCAUUUAGACAAUCCUGAGUGCACAUGCAAUGAAUGAGAAAAUCAACCUUAAAAAUGAUACAACACACAAUGCUAAGAUACAUCAUAUUCCCAUCAUGUAUGUGACAAGGACAUAUUAAUUUAUUUUUACUUCAAAGACAUGCUCAUAAAAAACAAAAAUAGAAAAACACAACCUCCCCAUUACAUUUGACAAACAUCGUUGGAUUAGAAAUACAAACCUUGUGGGAAAUGACAACAGAAGCAUCAUGUACUAGCUCUACAGUAAUGUCAUUAUUCUUGCCUUCUUGCCAUAUUGAGCCCCUACUUGAGAGCUCAAUUUAUGAAUGAAGUUUGAAUGAACCCAUCAUUGAUCAAUCACCAAUUCCUUUUUUUUUUUUGCAUAGGUAGUCAAAAAUCACCUCUUGGGAUUCCCAAUCUGAGUCUGAGAAAACCUUUGAAAGAAAUCCCCAAAAAACAUGUUCAACAUUUUAUCUUAACAGAAAAAUGUGCAUGCAGACAGAGCAGUACCUCUGUGAAUUUAUACACAAGUGGGCCAUGGAAAGUGGUCAAGACCAAAGUAAUAAAAUUUAUAGACUCCAGGGGAUAUAGCACAUUGCUUGGCUUACCUCAGUGUGGAUUAUUGAUGGUUGAAUAUCACACUAAGUCAAAAAAAUAUCUCACAAUAAGUGAAAUAUUAAAAUGUUCUACAUUGUAGUAACAACACAACAAAAUUAGAUAUGAAGUGCACAAUUAACUCCCAAAUAUCAACAAUUGAACCAUAAGUUUGUAUAAUACAACAAUCACACAAACACAAACAAGGAUUGCUUGUCAACAUGAUACUUGACACAUAACGCAAAUCAAAGAGAUUUUAAUGAACCCAUGAUAAAAACUAUGUUUAAAAAAACUUGUUGACGAAUUUUGCUGUACCCAAGUUGCUACAUGAUCAAUAACUAUGCAAAGAUAUAAAUACAUUUUAAUUGACCAUAUGUAAAUCAUGUACAAAAUGAAAACCUCAUAAAAUAAAGACGCAUUCAUGUAAAUGAAAACACAUAUUCUACUUCAAAUGAUCCCCUUCUACUUUGUGAAAAUGUCCAGGGGAAAAAACAAACAAAGAAACUGCUUUCACAGUUUCCAUAAUAACAGCUCAUAACCAGUGAAGGUCAACAAUAAAAACUAUUCUGCCAAGGCCCUCUAAAACAAUAAAACAAAACAUCUAGAACUACCAAAAACAACUACAAUUAAUCACAAUCCAAAAAAGGUUCCAGUCCAUCAUCCACUGUAAAUAUGUGUUUCCAGGACAUGACGGUCCUGACUACAUGCAAACUAAAUUUCCUCACUAUCCGAAGUCAAAAUAUAAUCAAGGACGUUCUGGAAACCAAAUAUUCACAACAACUCUAAAAUUAUAAAACUCAAAGUACUGACGAGGACUACCAGGAAUAAAAACAAAGCUAUAGGAAAGAAGACAUACAUCCAUUUAAAGUCAGAAGGCAAAAAUACGAAGUAACAAAGACAAAUCCAACAACAACAAAGUACGAAGCAUAAAAAAGCCAUUUCGAAGAUGCAGAAACAUAGAUGUCGCAAUCGCGGUGAACGAAACCGCCCGAUAGCACACCCGCUAAACGACGGUCUUCGGACGCCCCUCAUCGGACGCUGAUGGCAAAGGCCCCCACCUCCACGCGUGGGUUCCCCGCUGCUGACCUUUCCUUCGCUUCUAUGUUGUGGCGCCUGGGUUAAUCGGCGACCAGUGUGUGUGCAUCGGUUGAUGCGAAGUAGGAGCGUCACGGCCAUGCGAGUGAGUGCGGGGAGGAGGACGGUAGUGCCGCGGAGCAAGAAGAGCCUGAAGCCAGCCCUGCGUUGAACGUCAUCCUCGCGGGACCCGAGUCAAGGCUGCUGCUGCGUCGCAUUGAUUGUUGGGUGGGAGGGAGUGCGGUGCAUUUCCCCGAGCGUUUAAAGGUUAGGUCUGAUCGUCUAGGGGAGGAAGAAAGAAGAGGGGGAGGGAGAGGGGGUAGGAGAGCGAAAGUUCCGAGGUUGGAUAGUAGACUUGGGCGGGUGCGGGCGCGGGGCAGUGAGUAAGGGAGGGAGAUGAGCGUGAGGUGCCGAAGCGGAGGGAGGGAGGGAGUUUGAGUGGCGGUGGUGGCGGUGGUGGAGGGUCGCGAGCUGGAGGAUAGAAUGUUGGCAGUGUUGCAGAGGCAGCAGGAACGACAGUUCAUCGGAGGGGGAGUGGAGUCGGCGUUUAUGAGUGGUGGUGCGGGGGGGUUGUCAUCGCUGGAGGGCGGGGUGUCGUCGCAUGAGUCGAUGGUGGACUACGUGCCGAUGUCUCAGCACAUGCAGACGCAGCAUGCAAUGCGGCGGCUGAACUCGUUCUCGCCGUCGGUGUCGAAGGAGGGCGAGGGCGCGAUGAAUGGCGUGUCUCCGCAGGUGUUCCAGCGGAGCCAGAGCUUCGGGGGCGGGGGAGGAGGCGCGACCGUGCAUUCGCACGCGUUCAACAACCUGUUUUCGAGCCCGCCGAGCUCGCCCGUGUCGAAGGGCGAGUGUCUGGGGCUGUCGUUGCUGGAGGAGGAGUCGCUGAUGGAGGUGGGGGGCGGGAAAGCGAGUUUCUUCGAGGAGGUGGGGAAGGGAGGCGGACGGGCGGAGCUGCGGGGGCUGAGCUUGGCUCCGGGGUCGCCACUGGGCGGGGGCGGCUCGUCGAUGGGGUCGCCGACAUUUUCCGAUGCGCUGUUCAACAAGUUUCUACCGUCGAACAACGAGGACGAGGAGGCGUGGCCGGCGGUGGACAUGUACGGGUGCGAUCAGUUCCGGAUGUUCGAAUUCAAGGUGCGGCGAUGCAUGAGGGGGAGGAGCCACGACUGGACGGAGUGUCCGUUCGCACAUCCCGGGGAGAAGGCUCGGCGUCGCGACCCGCGGCGGUUCCACUACUCGGGCACGGCGUGUCCGGACUUCCGGAAGGGGAGCUGCCGACGGGGGGAUAUGUGCGAGUUCGCGCACGGGGUGUUCGAGUGCUGGCUGCAUCCGGCUCGGUACAGGACGCAGCCUUGCAAGGAUGGGCGGAACUGCCGUCGUCGGGUGUGCUUCUUCGCGCACACGCCGGAGCAGCUGCGGUUGCUGCCGGCGGCCGCACAGGCAGCGACGACGGCCGCUCGGAACGGAGGGUCGUACGACGGGUCGCCCCGAGCGAGUGUGGCGGCGAGCUACGACGGAGCGUUCGCGUACGAGGGGGUGUCUUACGACGGGGCAUCGGUGGGGCUCGUCGGAUCGGCUUUGAGCCACUUCUCGGGGUACUCGAGCUCGGGACACUCGGGGGCGGGGUGCGUGGCGUCGCAGAAUUCAUCACCUCGGUCGACGCUGGUCGGGCACGCCCAGUAUCCGGCGCCGCUGUCUCCUCCGCUGUCGCCUUCGGGGUCGCCUCCGCUGUCACCCGGUUCGCCAGAAGAAUGGGCGGGGAGCGGGGGCGCGUUUGCGAGCCUGUCGAUGUCUGGGAUGUCGGGAGCGCAGUCGGCGAUGUCUCUGCAGGCGAGCCUGCAGCAAGCCGCGCAGGUGCGGUCGCUGGGCGGGCACGCGCAGCCGUGCACGGUUCCGGCACAUCGGCGGCAUUUGGAUCGGUUGAACUCGAUGCCGACGCUGUCGAUACCGAGCGCGGGGGAGCAUCGGGGCGUGCACUCGGGCGGGCAUUUGGGGGUGCAUCCGGGGUCGGCCCCGUCGUCGCCGUCGGGGGUGGCGCAGAAGUCGAUGAUGGAGUUGAUCGCGACGCUGCAGCAGUUGGAGGUGCGGGGGGCGCCCCCGGGAUCGGCAGCGCAGUGGUUGCAGCAGCAGUACACGACGGGGCCGUCGCCGCUGCGGCGUUGCUCGCAGAGCGUGCCCGGGACGCCGACGAAGGUGUCGGCGCGGUGGGAGCAGAAGGAGCGGUGGGAGGUGGACGAGAACGACGAGGGGGAGCCGACAGUGCAGCGGGUGGAGAGCGGGCGGGAUCUGCGGGCGAAGAUAUACGGGCGGCUGGGGAGGAGUUCUUUGAAGGAUGCGGGGCCGGCGAUGGGAGAUUCGCCAGAUCUGGACUGGGUGAACGAUCUGGUGAAGGAGGAGCCGGAGCAGUCGGCGGCGUGGUGAGGGGAGAGGCGGGAGGAUGCGAUGCGAUGCUCCGCGCUUGGGUUAUGGUGGUGUUGCGUGCGGAGUGGUUUCUGCGGUGCGAAGGCGGAGGCGUGGAGGGUGUGGAAUGUGGGGCGCAGGGUUGGUGGAUAGGAGGGCGGGGUAGGGAGGGGGAUUAGAGUGGGAGGUGGUAUUUGAUGAAUAUUGGGUUGGGAGGGGACGGGUGCGAGUAUGUGAAUAGGCGGAGCGGGGAAGUGACAUGGGUAUGGCGUGGAGGGACUGAUGUUGCGCCUGUGUAAGAGCGGGGAGGGGUUGUGAUUGCAGCCGUGACAGCGGAGGAGGGUGGAGGACGUUGCUGGUCGCCCCUUUUGUCGGGGAGGAAUUGGCACAGGAGUUGAUUUGGGGGUUGGGGGGGGGGUAUAUUGUUGAUUACGGUAGGGGGAUGAGAAUGGGCCGGAAGGUGGUGGCAAUGGACCAUCGGAGGGCGAUGGAGAGCGAGGGGUGAUGAUAUUAUACAUAUUUGGGACUAUUGGUGUGCGCACCUGAGAGGAGCAGGCGGUGCGGAGGUAGGAGAUUGACGUAAUGAGAAAUUAUUAUUCUGCUCGGUUUUGGCCGCCCCAAAAGGAGCUGGGAGAAGACACGAGACGGGGCGAUACCCAUUUUUUUGGAUUUUUCACUCAAAUUGUGAUUGUAGGUAGGCAGGCUUUUGUUGAUUUACCAAAAGCAGGAUUGUAGUGGUAGAGACGGAGGAGCAUGCAUGUGGAUACUUUUGUGUACAUGCCAAGGGAGUUGAGAUUGUGACGUUAUGGAGCGUGGAGGUCUGGGAGGAAAGUAGACCUUAGUGACAGGAGAGUCUAGUCAUACGACGGAUCGACCUAUCUCAAUUCGGAAGGACAAUGCGCCGAUCUAUUUGCCUAGGAUUAAAAGUGUACAUUCAUUCAUGAUGUCAUGAUGGCGAUGGCUUUUGUAAUAUAUGUUUCUCUGCCCUGCACAUUGAUUUUUGCGGUACGGUGUGUAUGUGUGACGGCGUGUAUGGCGGGAGGGAGAGAGUGGCUCUGUGGGUGGUUGUGUGAUGGGUAGGGUUGGGCGCGUCGUGGCCGUGGAGCAGUCUUUGCAGUUUGGGUGCCCGCCGGGUGUGGAGGGUGGGAGGGAUUGCUUUUUUAUUUAGUGUAUGUUUGUGGAGUCGCGAUGGCGUGUGGUUGGAAUUGGGUUGGGGCGGGACGUGUUGUCUGAAGGACGCUGAUCUUGCGGGUAUCUGGGUUGGAGCGUGAUCGUGUGAGGUGGAAGGUGGUGCGGCGAGGGUUUGGGAUGUUGGUGUUGUGAAGCUGGGUGGAUGUGUUGGCGAGAGGGUAUGGGGUGGAGGAAUGGAGUAGGGGUUUGUUGACGUGGAUGUGACUGUGGUCGUUGCAGUGUACGCUGUGGUUGUGUCGAGUUUGUGAAAGGGGAGGAGGCAGAGUGUAUCUUCUUGGAGAUUCAGGGACAACGCUGCUUUCUUGCUUUCGAUUGAGUAGCGGUACCGUGGAUUUAUACUGUUGCUGGUUAGUUUUUCUUUUAAUAUGCAUUUAACCUUGUCUCGUGGGUUUUUUUUUUUUUUUUUUUUUUUUUUUUCCCUUUCUUUCUCGCUUUUUUUUGCAUCUGUUAAGGGAUUUUCGUUUAUUUAUUUAUUUUGUUUUGGUUUUAGGGUUGAAAGUAUGGUCAGCUUAUCUCUGUAGCUCAACUUUGAUUCGUUCUGUUUUAUUAUAUUUGGGUGAUGUGGAUGUUGUUGUGAUUGUAUGUUGACCGGUUCAAUUCCUCGGAUUAUAUUUUCCAUGAGUUGACGGUGAUUUUGGUUUUCGUUUGUCGUACAUCCCUUUAUUUGUAGAUUUGGUUCUAAGUUUUCUAGCUAGUUUCGUGAAGUGGAGCCUGUAGGUAUUUUGUGUAAUUUCCGGCGUCGUUGUGUAAUUUCCGGCGUCGUUGCGUUCUGAUUCCGGCACUGUCUCUUUUUUUUCGUUUUCAACGAUUGUACGAUGUGGUUGGUUGUGUAUCUCCAGUUUUUUUUUGAGGUUUAUUUAUUUAUUUGUUUUUCCAACUAUCUUUUGUUAUUGUUGUGUAUUCCGCUUUGCUGAAGCAAUUGUGGAGAAUGUUCUUCGAAAUGUUUUAUUUGGCGUCUGGAAUGCUUCCCCAGAGUUUGUCAGGCGGAUGUAGCUCUCAAGUUUGGCAUUGUAUAUUGACUUGUCGCUGUAAGUGUAGCCCUGAAUUCUCUAGAGUACGUAUUUUUAUACCAUCAGGUCACUGUGGUGUGGUUUGGCUGAAUUGAGGAUCCAAAACUGAUCUUGAUUUGUUAUGACGCGUUUGUCUGUUUCGAUCCACAGUCACUCACUGUAAACUGGGAUAUGGCAGUUCGAAUGGAAUGGUUAUCUCAUUCACCGAGAAUGGGCCGUCUACUGUGGUUGCUGGACUGGGAGUCAACAUCGACCACGUCUGGCAUCGCACUCGUGCUCAUUAGAUUGAGGAUUGGAGCAAAGUUAUGAGACCGAAGAUUGCGCGCAAUCUGACAGUCAUCAGUAUUUAUGACGAUCUAGACUUCAAUGGUAAGAUUCUGCAGUCAAUGAUUCCCCUCUGCUUAAAAGAUAACUGCGUGCUUUGUCACUUGACUAUCAGAAUUGCAGUGUAUGGUGUGGUUUUCAUUGUGCUUGAAAGAUUAUGCACUAAUUGGCAUCAACCUCCCAGGAGCUACAUCUCAACAGCUUACUUUGCAAUAUGCGGAUGAUACGUCAUUCUUUGUCCGUGCAAAAGAACAAGUGAAAACAUUGAUUGAUAUCCUCGACACCUUUGCCUUGGCCUCCGGACUAGUGAUUAAUUGGGCAAAAUCCAGUGAUUAUUGGGUGAGUAAACACGAUCCUCGACUUGCAUGGACGAAUGCAUACGAUUGGGUCUGGGUGUGGGAUGGGCACAUAGCUAAACUACUAGGCAUCUUAUUUGGGCUCUCCAUUAGUACACCUGAUAUUGACAAUUUAUUAAAAGGAAAGAUCUAGCAGAAACUCACAUUUUUGGUCUCAACAAAAUUGUCUUAAGCAGGACACAAACUCGUUGUAAAUCAAAUUCUACUAUCAACACGCUAGUACUUCGUGGGGGUAUGAACAUGCUCACGGAAGGUUAUUAAACAAAUCAAGGCUCUCCUCAGGAACUAUCUUUGGACUGGAAGAGAACAUCGUACAAGUGCAUGAGUGGCGUGGUUGACAUGAAUCCUCAAAAAGCAAGAGAAAGUAAGCAUCACUGACUCGGAAGAUGCAAUGGACUGUCUCCUAAACAAAUAGAUCUUGAAAGCUCUCGAACUGAAGAAGUGUAACCUGACUGCCCUCCUUUGGUACAAGCUUGCCACAUUUCAACCGAACAAAGGCGGGAGAUGGAGCAAUGAUCUAAACUUGGCGAUGCUUACAAGACACAUACACUCAAGCGGAUCUAUUAUAUGGGCCCAGAUUGGCAAAACAUGGAAGAAACUAGCAAAAGUAAUCCAGUAGCGUAAGCCACAUACACGCGCUGAAAUCACCAACAUCAGACUCUGGUUUAGUUCGAAAUUUGUGACAUCAAUACACCCUACAAUCACAAUGGUUCAAAGGGCCACAUGGUAUAAACGUGAGUGCAGACAAAUUAGAGAUUGCAGAGCAGAAGAUCAGACCCAAUACCUUGCCUCAGAAGCACGGAUUUGGUUUCACUCGAGUGAGGAUGAGCAGCCCUAGUGGAACAUCAUAAUAACAACCAUCCAAUAGGAGUUUGGGCUGCUUUUGAACAAUAUCCCACCCACCACCAAAGUAGGCGGCUAGCUUGGCCUAUAUAAAUGAGACUCCUUGCUGCAUCCAAUUCUAGUCACCCAAGCUAUCCCAAGUUUCUGCCCACCUUUAGGAAUGGAACAAUCCGUUGCCUAUUCCAAAUUCACCACCAAUACCUUUCGAGUUGGACCUGUGGAUCAGAUCCUACAUCCCACAUCCAACCUAUCCUCCUGGAUCCAAUACACUCCACACGCAUAUAACACAAGGGCCAGUGAUACCCCCAACCAAGGACAUGCUGAUCUGCAAGAUAGAGAAAAUUCGGGUUGUAUCGGUGUAAUACAGUUCCAAGAAAACGGUGAUCCGUUUCUUCUACGGCUCCUUCUCCAAACUCGAGUUCAAUCUUGAUAGACAUAGAUAGGAAGGCAACACACCAAUCUUCCAGUUCACCCCAUGAACCGCAAGAACAUGGGUAUCAAACUUGACCAACCCCAUAUCUCUCUGUACAACCAAAUAUAAAGGCCCUCCCUACAUUGAAACUUAAUUCAUGCCAAAAAAGAAAAAGAAAAAAAGAAAAAAAGAAAAAAGAUUAUGCAGUAAUGUUUGAAACAGAGGCCAACAAGUUCUUUUAAAUACAUUACCACCCAUGAGUUGGAUUUAUCUACUCUUGGAUUUGAGUGUAGUAUGCAAUUUGGAGAAAAGUAGUGUUAGAUUUAUUUCAAAACAAUGAUAUGUCUUUCUUUUUAUGUUUUUUGAAAUAAAAGGGAUUUCACUUUUUUAAUUAAAAAAAUUAGGUAAAUAAUAUAGUCUUAAAUAGGUCAUCAUUAUGACUAAAUUAGGCCUAUCUUAGGAGAUAGAGUGUAAUUUCACCUCAAUUAGAAUUUUGCAUCUUUUAGUCUUAUCAUAUUGUGUCUUAUAACUUUUUAAAGAAUUAAAAACUAUUUUAUAACUUCUUGUUUAUUGUAAUUAAUUUUUUCUUCCAAAAACUUAUAUUGCAGUUAAUUAGCUUAUGCUAGAAUAAAAAGAUUGUAAUAUCUUUUUUCUAAGAUUUUUCUUUAAUAAUCACAUAUUUUCUUUGUUUUGAUGUAGUAUAAUACUUAUAAUAUAUAUAGGAGAAUGAUAAAACAAUCCAAAUUUUUAUUAAAGCAAUUCACCUUCUUUGUUCUCAAUCCUGCUUCUUCUAUUUCCAAUUUUCAAUCUAAACACCAUUCCUAGCUUUCAUCACGGUGUCGUAUUGUGACACGACUAUAUGGUGAAAAUAUGACAAAAAAAAUGAUAUUUUAAUUAAUAUUCUAUUAUCAUGGUUCAACAAGCAUUCAAUAUAUUUUACAAGGCUUUUAUAAAAGCCUCUAAUCCUAUUUUCUUCACUUAAUAGCUAGUAGAUAAAAACUAGUUAGUAAUUUUACCUUCUAGGCUGUAGUAACUUUUUUAUUGCCUUAGAAAGGCCAUAAAAUGGUAAAGAAAGGAUAAAAAGGAUAAUUUAUUAGCAUGGUUGAUACUAGGGUUAAGUUGAGGGUAGGAUCGGGCUAUAAAACCACUAGGAUAGAUUAGAUUGAUAUCCGGGGGUCGGCCGGAUAUGAGACAGGGUCGAAAUCCGACCUCCAACCACUAAAACGGCAGCCUAGGGCAAAAUACGGGGGUUUUUUCAGAUCGGGUUUUUGGAUCGAAGAGCUAGCUUCAAGCUCUUUUCAAGGUCACUAGUUCGGUUUCAUUAGGAUUUGUGAGAGGAGAGCAAUCGCUGCUCAAAGUCAGUGUUUAUUUUGGUGUUUCGGAUUUUAUAUAAAACAUUGAUGGUUUGCAUUCUCAAUCGGUUUGUGCAAGUCGUGUAGCAUCUAUGGGUCAAAAUUUGGUAUUGUCUGGAUAGUUGGGUGUGCUAAGUGUAUACAAAAAUUUGUGUUAAUCUAACGAUGCAAUCAAGAGAUAUCUGGGUUUUAGUACAAAAGGGUUGUCGGAAGUUGGCAGUCUAGGGUUGGAUAGGGUUUCUGUGAUAUUUGAAGAUCUAUUGGUUGGAUCGACGUAAUUUUUGGCUUGGUAAUAGAAGAUUUGGAGAUCAAGCGGCUAUUCAAUUUUGAGCUGGAGUUAACGGUUGACAAAGGAGAAAUCACUUCUAGAGUUUCUACAUCAAAUUUCAAGGUUCCGCCGAGUGUCAUUAGUGCGGUUUUUGGGCGUUUUCUUGCAAUCUGUAAGUUGGAUUGGGCUGAAAUUUUCUGAGCAUAUAGAAGGCUUAUACUGGUAUUUGGGUGCAAAAUUUCACACUAAGUGGACGGUUGGAUCAAAAGUUACAGCUUGUCAAAGCUCACUUGCUAGAGUUAGGGCUUGUUAAGAAAAACAAAAACAACUUAAUUAUAAAAGAAAUAAAGCAAUUGGAAUAUUGUAUGGUUAAAAUGACUAUGAGGAGUGUUUUUAAAUACUUGGAAAUUGAUAUUUCAAUUAUAUUCUUCAUACAUGGAUAAAAUCUAUUAGGGUUUCUUUGUUAUUUGCAAAAACAACUAUACCUUCCACAACCAGAUAUCCAAUGUAUUGCCGAACAAGACAACACGUAAUACAACAGCGGUGAUGUGAGGAUCUGCAAGCAUGAUGUGGCAUUUGUUGGACAAUCGGAGGCUAUGAUGACAAUUGACAACUCCCUCUAUAAAUAGUAGUAAAGACAUUACUUGGCCAUAACUAUCGAUUUUUAUUUUUGUUGCCUCUUUUGAUUUCAAAUAAAAAAAAUCGAACUAAGUAUUUUCAAAGUUAUAUUUCUAUCAUAAUUUGACAAUUUUUGUAGCUACUAAAUAUGUAGAUGGCUAAAUUCUUGUUCUAUUAUGCAUUUAUAAUAGUUGGUCUAAAAAGUCUAGAGUUAAUUAAGUCUUUGAAUAAUGUACAUUGUCACAAUGUCUAAAACAUAGAAGACCUCACCAUAUUGAAACUCCAUACCAAUGAUAGUUUACAAAAGUUCUAAUAAUUCGAGUUCAAUCAAUAUGGACAAGGGCAACAAUAUUGAAGAGGCUCUCUCAAGACAAUCAAAUAGCCAACCAGAUUCUAUAUACUUUGAGCAUUUAAAUUAACAUAAAUACUUUUCUUUCACUAGGGAUCAUCACUAGAACAAACGGAGAGAAUUAGACAUGAUGGAAAGGAAAAAAAAUGUCAAAUAAAAGAAGUCACCUUCCAAAGUAACUUCAAACUUAAGGAUAUAAAUAAAUUUGACUUGUUUGUAAGAAUUAUUCACUCCAAAAGCUAUAGAAAGAGAUGUGAUGGGAAUUUUAGUUCUUAAACAUACCUAAUUAUAUAUCUUGUAAUAAUUCACUUUUACUCAAAGUAUGAGUGUAUGUAAGUGAGUAUGAAUGAGAGAAUGAAUGAAUGAAAGAGUGAAUAAGUGACAUUGCAAAGUAAUAGUCCUCACUUUACGUCUAUGCAAACAAACUCUUAUCAUAUUGCAUAAGUGAUAUUAUAUUAAACUAAAAUAGUUAUUUACAAAGGAAAUAAUACUAAAGACUCUUGAAACAAGACCAAAUACAAAAAAGACAUUGACAAGAGUGAAGAAGGAUUUAUUCUUGCCUGUAUAUACACUACCUAAUUAAGAGCUAUAGGAUGAUAUUCUAUAAGACCUUUCAUACAUGUCUAACUUGCAUAGCCUUGACCAUUAUAUAUGGUCAUAUAUAGUUCUUCAUUCUGCUUUGAGAAAGUCUUUGUCUUAAUCUUCAAUGCUUCAAGAGCAUUAAUAAUAGAAUCUAACUUGAUCUCUUUAGAGUCUGCCAUAUUGACUUUUCCACCUUCUGCCAUAGGAAAUGAAAGAAACACAUGCCUUCAAAAGAAAAAAAAACCUUAUCUAUGAUAUAAAAAAAAGAAACCAAAAGAAUAUUAAAAAAAGAACAAUAUUAGUCUAGAGGAGGGUAAUCUGCAACCUCUAGAAUGCUAUAGUACUUCCAAGAAGAGGAGUAAUCCACUCUCUGUCAAGAAAGACCAAAAUCCUAAUAUUAUUUUAUGGCAGUCUUGAGAAACUAUUAAAGACCAUAAAUAAGACAAGGAUUCAAGACCAAGAAAUAGAAUUAGUUUGACAUUAGAACAACAACUAGAUACAAGGUAAGAAGGUCUUGGCAAGACCACAAGAAGGGAGUUGUCAAGACUGAGGAUCCCCUCAACCUCGACUCCUAUACAUACUAGGUCUUUGGAAGCUUCUUGAGAAGUUUUUACGAGGCUUGAGAAUAAAGCAAGCCUAAGAUCCUUCUUUGGCAACUUCCUAAAUCAUCUAAAGCCUCCUAGAACCUUCUAGGAUCUCCUAUGACCUAGAGCCUUCUUAGAACCUAUUUGUACCUUCUAGAACCUUCUGGAACCUUCUUCAGUUGUAUGUCCGUGACAAUUAAGGUGGAUGAAUUCUUAUUUGUAGAUAUGAAAUCAUUCUUUGAUAAAAAUUCAUUUAUAGAUGAGAAUUUAUCUUAGAUGAACUUUUAACUUGGAUAAUUUAUUAUUAUUAGAUAAAAAAAUAUUAAAAUAAAAUAAAAUCAUAUAAAAAUUUUCUUUCAAAGAAUGUAAUUUGAAGUAUUUAUUAUUGCUUAUAUUGUUAUUAUGGAUGUCUUAAAAAAUUAUGGAUGAGUUAAAAAAUUAAAGAUCUUUCAUAAAAAAAUACAAAUGCAAUUUAAUUAAUAAAAUCAUAAAUGGCUAAUAGUUAUGAAUUAGUAUAAUUCACCUACUAGAAGACUUUAUCUAGCUCAAAAUUAAAGAGAUAUGGAACUAUUAGAUACAAAUUAAUUUCUACUUGAGAAUUGUUACAAUAUUUAGAAAAUUAAAUCAUUGUGAACUAGAUUAUACUUCAAACUAAUGGGAGUUUAUUUUAGUUCACAACAUGCAUGCAAUAUUUAACUUUUAUUUCAUGUUAUAGUAGCUAUCUCUAGGAUCUCUUAUAUAAGUAAAAUAUUAUAUUCUUAAAGUUCAAUCUUCUUCAAUUUAGUUGUUUUUAUUAAAAUGAUAGUAAUUCUUAUUGAAUAGAGGAUUUUUUUUUAUUCUAUUAAAGAUAGUUAAAUAUAAAAUAAAAUUUGUUUGAAUGUACAUAUUUGAGGUCUUUAGUCAAAAGAUGCUAUGCUUUGUAUAACCAUUUCUAGAUCUUUGAAUGUAAAGAAAAUUAAGAUGAUGUCUUGAUUGUCUAAUAUAGAUAUUAAAAACCAAUUGUUGAUGUUUUGAAAAGUUCAAAUGAAUUGGAAUAUAUAAAUAUAUAUAUAUAUAUAUAUAUAUAUAUAUAUUAUAAAAUUUUGAUAAAAUGAGGUUUUUGGCAUUAAUGACUUGAAAAUCUUAAGUAUUAUAAAGACAUUUUAGGUUGUAUCUAAAUCUAUCAAACUAGAAAUUCCAUGUUGUGUACAAGAAAUUAUUUGUUAUGUGAUUUUAGUAUAAGUGUUAGUAUCCUUAUUAAAUUCAAGUAAAGUCCUUAGUUAUUUAUUUAAUAGCUUUUAUAACUUGGAUUGAUUUAAUUUAUAUUUUAAUGAAGUGGAUGAUUGAAUGAUAUAACUAACAAUUAGUAUUUUUGUAACUAGAUUGAAUUAUAAAGAAUACUAAUACUUAAGUUUUAUUUAUACAUAUUUGAUAAGGAAGAUGUUGAUGGUUGAAGAAUCUAGAUUGACUCCAAAGAGAUAAAAGAAAAUUAAAAUUUUAUAAAAUAAUCUAAUUAAAUAUGAACUUAUCAGUCCAAGGUAGUUUGGAUACAUUAAUGUAACAUAGUGCCAUAGAUUAUAACCAAUUUAUGUAUAGCCUUAAAGAGGAAUGAAAAUAUUUUAUAAUCAUAAUAACUUUUUAUUAAUAGAUUCUAUUCUCUUUAAAAAAUAUUGUAGAAUUGUCAAUAUAUUGAAUGAUAAUUACUUGGUUGUUGUAGUGUGGUAAGAUAUAUAUAUAUAUAUAUAUAUAUAUAUAUAUGAGAUCGAAAAGCAUAAUUGUCUUGAGAUUGAAAUGAAGAAUAUUUCCUACUAUCAAAAAAGUUAAGAAGAUAAGAAACAACAUUGUUUAUACCUUCAGUAGUAAGAUAAUUUGAAGAUCUUCACCCAUUUGAUAAUAAUAUGAGCUUUAACAUAAAUAAAAAGAAUCUUGGUCAUUAUAAUAAAAGUUAUUCUAAAUCUUAAAAAUAUUAUUGAUUGUAUAUAAAAGUUUGAUUAAUAAAAUUGAUUGCUUUUACAAAAUUAAACUUCAAUAAUAUAAGGCAUCACUUGAGUGCUUUGACUUAAUGUAUGUCUUUAUGAACUAAAAUCAUAUUGAUGAACUAACAUUAUGUUGAUAAGGAUAUAUUUGAAAAGAGAUAAGACACUUUGAUUUAAGCUUAUAACUUUUAAAAGAACACAUUGAUUCCUCAAUUGUAGAAUACUUAAAAACAUUCUUAUUUAUAAAACUUAAGAGAGUUAUAGGUCAAUAAUUUCCUAUUGAUUUCUAAUUACUAUUUUUGAAUAUUAGAAAAUUUUAUUCUUUCAUUAUAAAUUGAAAAAAACACUCUUCUUUGCAAAGAUUUUAAAGAACUUAAUAUUUGAUCAAUAUAUAUUAGUUGUGAAGAGAUGCAAUGUAUAUGCCUCUUGCUAGGAGUGAGUUGUUAUUUGCUAUGUUUUACACUCUAAGAUUGUUUUUCUAGACGUCUUCUUUUGAUUCUUUCAUAAAAUUUUGUCUUGGCAAGAGAUUAGUAUAUAGAAGUCAUAAGCAAAGGAGACCUUGUAUUUUAUGAUACAUGAUUGAUUAUAUAAAAAAUAGUUGAGCUUUAAAUCUAAGGAGCUUAGAAUUCCAUCUACAUUUAUUAAAUUAUAAAAAGUUGUAAUAUUCCAGAAUUGUCUUACACUACAUUAAUCAAUUUAUAUUGUAAGCAAGAAGGUCUACAAAAUAUUAUUAGAAAUAGCUUGGAUCAACCAUUGUAUUUCAUAACAAAGUGCAAUAAAAAAUUAUAGCUAUAGUAGCUAUAGUUAAAAAAAAACUAUAUAGCCUCCCAACUUUUUAAAGAGUACUUUUAUGUCAACUUUUGCAAAAGAUUAAUAGGUAUUUCCUAAUAAAUUCUUAAUAUUUCCUAAUAAAUACUUAACUAAUAAUUAAGAAAGAAUACAUAUUUAAUAUUAUAUGGUACCAUUUUUAUAAAAAAAAACGUUUUUUUCUUCUUUAAGAUCAAAAUCAUACCCCAAGAUAAUAUAUAUAUAUAUAUAUAUAUAUAAUAAUACAAUAUAAUAAAGCAUCUCCUCUAAAUGGGAGGUUCUUGCAAUAAUCAAAGCAUGUGACAAUGUAGACAAUUUCAAGGACAAUUAUCCAAUAAACUCUUUGUAUUAAAAAAAAGGGGGGGAGGGGAUCUCUAUCCAACUCAACUAUAAAGACUGAAUGUCAAUGCUAUAAAAAACUUUUUUAAAACUUACAAAUUACACAAGACUUGUGAAGACAACUUACAAAACUUUAAAAUAUUUAAAUGCUGCAUUUAUAAGCUGAAGCUCAAUUAAGUUUAAUCCUUGGAAUUUAAGGUUUUCUUAGAAUUUGUUUAGAGAUUAAUUAAUACUGAGUAGGACUUCUUCACAAAUUGCAUGAAACUUUCUUAGAAUCUAAUUAAGAAAUUGUAGAGUUUCAAAAAAAUGUAGUUCUAAUUUUGUUGAAAUUUCUAGUGGUUUGCUUAAAUUUUAUUUAGAAUUUCUGAAUAAAUAUUUAAGAUUGGAUUUGAGUCUAAUACUUAAGAAUUUAAAAUACAAAACUGACAGGCUCUUGAAUUGCCUCAAAUUAGAAUGUCUCAACAAUUAGGAACUAUUAAGUAACCUACAUGUAAAGUGCAUAUUAAUUUGACUUGUAAGAAACAGAUGGACUUCAAGUCAUCAAACUCCACAAACCAAUACAUACUCCACGAUCCACCAACACAGCAGGCCAACCAACAACUCAAUGUUUUAAAUUUUCAAACAAUAUAAAAAGGCCAAAGCAAGAUCUUUUGAGAAUAAGCAAAUAAACAAACCAAACUAUCAAGGGGCAAAAAAAAAACAAAAAGAAUCAAUACGAAGUGCUAAACAAAUAUCUCCCGGAAAAAAAAAAAAAAAAAAAAAAAUGAGGCAAGUAUACCACAAUCAGCUUCAAAAGUGGAAAUAAAAACCACCGACCGGAAAAUUCAAAACCAAAAAAAAAACAAAGUUUACGCACGCCAAGAAACAGCGUUGUCCCUGAAUCUCCAAGAAGAUACACUCUGCCUCCUCCCCUUUCACAAACUCGACACAACCACAGCGUACACUGCAACGACCACAGUCACAUCCACGUCAACAAACCCCUACUCCAUUCCUCCACCCCAUACCCUCUCGCCAACACAUCCACCCAGCUUCACAACACCAACAUCCCAAACCCUCGCCGCACCACCUUCCACCUCACACGAUCACGCUCCAACCCAGAUACCCGCAAGAUCAGCGUCCUUCAGACAACACGUCCCGCCCCAACCCAAUUCCAACCACACGCCAUCGCGACUCCACAAACAUACACUAAAUAAAAAAGCAAUCCCUCCCACCCUCCACACCCGGCGGGCACCCAAACUGCAAAGACUGCUCCACGGCCACGACGCGCCCAACCCUACCCAUCACACAACCACCCACAGAGCCACUCUCUCCCUCCCGCCAUACACGCCGUCACACAUACACACCGUACCGCAAAAAUCAAUGUGCAGGGCAGAGAAACAUAUAUUACAAAAGCCAUCGCCAUCAUGACAUCAUGAAUGAAUGUACACUUUUAAUCCUAGGCAAAUAGAUCGGCGCAUUGUCCUUCCGAAUUGAGAUAGGUCGAUCCGUCGUAUGACUAGACUCUCCUGUCACUAAGGUCUACUUUCCUCCCAGACCUCCACGCUCCAUAACGUCACAAUCUCAACUCCCUUGGCAUGUACACAAAAGUAUCCACAUGCAUGCUCCUCCGUCUCUACCACUACAAUCCUGCUUUUGGUAAAUCAACAAAAGCCUGCCUACCUACAAUCACAAUUUGAGUGAAAAAUCCAAAAAAAUGGGUAUCGCCCCGUCUCGUGUCUUCUCCCAGCUCCUUUUGGGGCGGCCAAAACCGAGCAGAAUAAUAAUUUCUCAUUACGUCAAUCUCCUACCUCCGCACCGCCUGCUCCUCUCAGGUGCGCACACCAAUAGUCCCAAAUAUGUAUAAUAUCAUCACCCCUCGCUCUCCAUCGCCCUCCGAUGGUCCAUUGCCACCACCUUCCGGCCCAUUCUCAUCCCCCUACCGUAAUCAACAAUAUACCCCCCCCCCCCAACCCCCAAAUCAACUCCUGUGCCAAUUCCUCCCCGACAAAAGGGGCGACCAGCAACGUCCUCCACCCUCCUCCGCUGUCACGGCUGCAAUCACAACCCCUCCCCGCUCUUACACAGGCGCAACAUCAGUCCCUCCACGCCAUACCCAUGUCACUUCCCCGCUCCGCCUAUUCACAUACUCGCACCCGUCCCCUCCCAACCCAAUAUUCAUCAAAUACCAC